rnacentral:rRNA from 1 species
GAUGAACGCUGGCGGCGUGCUUAACACAUGCAAGUCGAACGGGAUCCAAGGGGUGCUUGCACUUUUUGGUGAGAGUGGCGAACGGGUGAGUAACACGUGAGUAACCUGUCCUUUUCUUUGGGAUCAGCAUUCGAAAGGGUGUUUAAUACCUUAUGUUCUGUCUGCCUCGCAUGGGGUGGGUGGGAAAGGCUUUGGCCGGAUUUGGGUGGGCUCGCGGUCUAUCAGCUUGUUGGUGGGGUGAUGGCUUACCAAGGCUUUGACGGGUAGCCGGCCUGAGAGGGUGGUCGGUCACAUUGGGACUGAGAUACGGCCCAGACUCCUGCGGGAGGCAGCAGUGGGGGAUAUUGCACAAUGGGCGAAAGCCUGAUGCAGCGACGCCGCGUGGGGGAUGAAGGCCUUCGGGUUGUAAACUUCUUUUGCUCUGAACAAGGCAUGCCAGUGGGUGUGUUGAGUGUAGGGGUUGAUUAGCGCCGGCUAACUACGUG